CACACAUACAUUCAAGCUUGUGGAGGAGAGUGACAGAAUGUUCUGCGGGUCUAGAAACUUCCAAGGCCGUUCAUGUCAUCUGACAGAGGAGGCAAGUUGGACUGCAGUCAGUGUCAUCUUGGUACAGGCAUGGAAACAGAGGCUGAGGAGGUCCCAGACAACCUUCAUCAAAUAGGGCUGAAAUAGCACUCCGAAUGUCACCAAAGGGAAGGCACCUUGUGAUUAAAAGGAAGAAGAAGAGAGGGAAAGGGAGAAGGAAAGAUGGAACACAGGAAGAAGAAAGGAAGGAAGGGAAGGAAGGAGGAAGGGAGGGAAGGAGGGAGAGA
ensembl:lincRNA